GUUCCUCCUGACCUCCGCUCGAGGUUUGGUGGGGACCCUGCCCUCAUCUCACUUUUGCUUUGUUUUGUUUUCUCUGUUUUUUACUCCUUCGCGACUUCGCACUCUCGCGAGAAAUGUAAGCCCCUUCGAUCUGGCUAGUGGAAAUCAGAGAAUGUGGAGAAACUGGACGAGCGGGAAGCCGGUGGCUGGCCCUGCCAUCUGACCUAUAACAGGAUGUGACUUGCCUGACUGAAGCGGACUAGGACCAAUAGGAAGAAUUUUCGAUUUACUGUGGGGAGGGUAAAGAGCACCAAAUAGUAGCCAAAGAGUUUAUCGUACCUCAAGGCCCAGUCGGAAAAGAAGAAUAUACUGGAAGAUUUGAUAAGUUAGGUGUACAAAGAUUUAACAGGGUCAAUGCCGUCCCCCCUUAAAAAAAAAAAUAAGACCAGAGAGCUUGGGGAACCCGCGCUUGUAUUAGUCAACGUGAACAUCAACGAGUUUGCGGGCCAGGGUACCUCAGCGGCUGCAGUAGAUAUGUCAGUCCCGGAAAGGGGGAACCACAGGCGUAGUCCCCUGUAUUGCCCACCUGCCCCGGAAGUAGUGUUGCGUUGGAGCCUUGCCUUCCGGGGCGGAUUGUCUGUCGUUGCAGCAGCUGUAAGAAGGGGAGGCCAUUUUCUGUUUCUAGGAAGAGUAAGAGCAAAGGGGAGAGGGGAAAAGGAAGGAAGGAAGGGCUCAGCACCUCCCCGCCGAGCCGUGGACAGAGGGGGCACUUUCGGCAGGCGGGUGAGGUCGCUGAGGGCCCGGAGAUGUUUUCCCUGUCGAGUACGGUGCAGCCCCAGGAGGGAAGCGAUCAAGGCAAAGCGAGUCCUAGGGUUGAGAAGAGAUCAGCGGCUAGGCUGA
rnacentral:lncRNA from 1 species